UUACUGCCAUUGUUACACAGUAUUUAUGAAGAAGACAUAAUUACAAGCUGACAUGAAAUUGAUGGUUGUAAAAUUAGGGCAAUUUCAGAAGAUUUCCACUAACACUGAAGCGAUGUGCUGUUGACUGGUUGCAUAACCAAAGGGAAAAAAGCAUUUUUCCUAAAUGAUUCCAGUUUUCAUUCAUCUAAACACAUAGAAAUGUGUAUGUUCUUAACCAGCAUCUGGUGAUUUUCACCAAUGCACAAAAAAAUGUUGAUAAUUUG